rnacentral:rRNA from 1 species
UACGAGGGGUGCAAGCGUUGCUCGGAAUUAUUGGGCGUAAAGGGUAGGUAGGUGGUCUCAUUUGUCUGGGGUGAAAGCCUUGAGCUUAACUCAAGAAGUGCCCCAGAAACGGUGAGACUGGAGUCUUGGAGAGGGUCGUGGAAUUCCCGGUGUAGCGGUGAAAUGCGUAGAGAUCGGGAGGAACACCAGAGGCAAAGGCGGCGACCUGGACAAGUACUGACACUCAACUACGAAAGCGUGGGGAGCAAACAGG